UUGUUUAAAAAUAACUUCCAAAAUAUGUGUCUAUUUUUUAUUGUUUUAAAAGAUCCAAUGGAAUGGAAUGGAAUGGUCUAAUAUUGUCUAAAACGUUAAAUAUUCUUGAUCUAUGGAAUCUUGGGGAAAAAUAUCAUUAUUAACCGUUUACAAAUUAAAAUAUAGCAUUUAAUAUAUUUCUUACGUAAAGCUUCAGAAUGUUUUCUAAAUAAAAUAUGUCAAAGAUAUUUUUAAUAUAAAAGAUAUUUCCUAAAAAUAACAUUUAUUCUGGAAAUGAAAUACUUUGAAUACAGGAAAUGAAUUUCUUUCUAGAUAGAUCCAGCCUUCCAGGUUUACUUCUAGAUAGAUCCAGCCUUCCAGGUUUACUUCUAGAUAGAUCCAGCCUUCCAGGUUUACUUCUAGAUAGAUCCAGCCUUCCAGGGUUACUUCUAGAUAGAUCCAGCCUUCCAGGUUUACUUCUAGAUAGAUCCAGCCUUCCAGGUUUACUUCUAGAUAGAUAUCUAGCAAAUGAACUGAUAACUCGCAACAAACACUAUUUUUUUCAUAAAUAUAUUUUAGCAGCCUGAUGAUGUAAACCUUAGAUUUUUCAGACUUUGACUUCUGAUCUGUUAAACCCAGCGUUUGAAAUAUAGUUUUCUACUACUUUUCGGAACUUUUCAGAUCAAACAAACUAAUCUAAUUUGUAUAGGUCAUCUGGUCUAUCUCGUUCAUCUGGUUCAUCUGGAAACAAUUGUAAAUUUGAUUAAUACUGAGUUUCCAGGUGUUUCAUAGCAAAACACUGGCUCAUUUCUAAUUUAAUUUUUACGAAAAAUUUUAUUAUUUUUUGUUAUGUUUAAAGUUAGUUUUUUUACUCAGAUUAAAUAUUCCAUAUAUGAGACAUUGAGGAAAGAGUCUGGAAAUAAUCAGUUAUGAUUUUUGGAUUUUAUUUUGAUGAGCUAGCUGUGAGCCAUGAAGAACCGGGAGCUGCCGAGAACAGAAGUGUUGAUCGGGAUGUAUUGUUCGAACCGAUUCUGUCCACCUGCAGGACUGAGACUUAGUCAUUAUUUAUUUAUUAUAAUAGUAUUCAUAGUACAGAAUAUAAAUUCAACUUGAUUGUUAAAACAUA